rnacentral:piRNA from 1 species
UGUAUAAUUGAUAGUUAAAAA